UUUCCGUAGGUGAACCUGCGGAAGGAUCAUUCAUAAUAAGUGUUUUAUGGCACUUUUUUAAAUCCAUAUCCACCUUGUGUGCAAUGUCAGGGUUGAUUUUUCUCUCGAGAGGAUCAACCCCAAACAUCAACUAUGUCUCAACUCUUUGUCUGUAAAAUAUUAUGAAUAAAACAAUUCAAAAUACAACUUUCAACAACGGAUCUCUUGGCUCUC
rnacentral:misc_RNA from 1 species